GAUAUUCAUGAGGUCUGCAAAACUACAGCAGUGCUUUAAAACAACGCAGAACCCAAGCAAAUGGUUUAGAGCCACAGUUUUUCAUCCCUGCUUGGUUCGGUUCUUCUUUUGGGUGCUGAAACUUGGCUCGACUCUUGCUGGUCUCCUCACGUAAACUCUGGCUGAACCCCUCCGGCAGCUCAUCUGCGGAAAGCAGGAAAGACGCAUGUUGUCCAGCUUCUCCAGAGCAGAUCGUUAGACAUUUGGGUCUUUCCCACAUAUGUAGCGUGAGGGGGGUGAAAAGCAUUCGAAUGGUACAUGAGGUUAUUUUACCGUCUCUAAGAUUCAGACAGAGCCAGUCGAGCGCUGAGUGAAGAUCACCUCCGUACAGAACGCUGCUCUUCAUGGAUUCUUCGAUGUGAUCUGUUUUAAAUCCAAACAGCUGCAGAGCCGUGUACAGGUCAGGGCUGCACAAAGUCCACUGGAGUUCCUCUACACCGCUGAAUCGAUAUGACCUUCCCCAAAAUUCUGCCACCAAGUUGGAAGCAUGUAAUUAUUUUAUAUAAUUGACUGGACAGGCCUGUUAGCAGUGGGCGUGUUCCUCACCAGUAGUUUUUUGGAGGACCGGCUGAAUGACGACCUUCGGGAAACACAAAGGAAGAACGAGUUAUACAGAUAUACUAAUGUAAUACACAGUGGAUUCAGAAAGUAUUCAGACCCCCGUACACUACCAUGCUACAG